rnacentral:rRNA from 1 species
UAGUCCACGCCGUAAACGAUGGAUACUAGCUGUCCGGAUCCUUGAGACCUGGGCGGCCAAGCGAAAGUGAUAAGUAUCCCACCUGGGGAGUACGUUCGCAAGAAUGAAACUCAAAGGAAUUGACGGGGGCCCGCACAAGCGGUGGAGCAUGUGGUUUAAUUCGAUGAUACGCGAGGAACCUUACCAGGGCUUAAAUGCAUAUUGACAGGGGUAGAGAUACCUUUUCCUUCGGGCAAUUUGCAAGGUGCUGCAUGGUUGUCGUCAGCUCGUGCCGUGAGGUGUCAGGUUAAGUCCUAUAACGAGCGCAACCCCUACCGUUAGUUGCCAUCAGGUCAUGCUGGGGACUCUAACGGGACUGCCGGUAGCAAACCGUGAGGAAGGUGGGACGACGUCAAAGUCAUCACGGCCCUUACGUCCUGGGCCACGACACGUGCUACAAUGGCCGGUACAGAGAGCAGCCACGCCGCAAGGCGGAGCGAAUCUAUAAAACCGGUCACAGUUCGGAUCGGGGUCUGCAACUCCG